ensembl:snoRNA W01H2.11 ncRNA
GCUGCAUUGGACUUCUGAAUCUUCAUGAGAGCUACAGUAGGCCUGGGUGAGUCAUUGGUCCAAUAAAACACCAUUCUAACCACGCCUAGAAGAUAUGAUUCCUAGAAAUUGGCUGACAUCCCAUAAUUAAUACCUUCAUCGC